CGCAUCUGUGCAUGCAGCAUAUCAAUAAGCGGAGGAAAAGAAACUAACAAGGAUUCCCCUAGUAACGGCGAGUGAAGCGGGAAGAGCUCAAAUUUGAAAUCUUAAAGGGUUUCCCUUUACGAAUUGUAGUUUAAAGAAGUGUUUUCUGUUGAGGUUUUGGUAAAAGUUCUUUGGAAUAGGACAUCAUAGAGGGUGAGAAUCCCGUAUUUGACCUUUACUUUCAACUUUGUGAUACACUUUCAAAGAGUCGGAUUGUCUGGGAAUGCAGUCCAAAAUGGGUGGUAAAUUUCAUCUAAAGCUAAAUAUUGGCGAGAGACCGAUAGCGAACAAGUACCGUGAGGGAAAGAUGAAAAGAACUUUGAAAAGAGAGUUAAACAGUACGUGAAAUUGUCAAAAGGGAAGCGUUUGACACCAGUGUUGUUUUUCUGAAAAUCAAUUAAAGAACUGUUUAUGCUAAGUUGUUUAGACUUUAUCAGCUAUCUGUUUAGUUUUGAGCUUUUCUUUAAUGCACUUUUCAGUUAACAAGUCAACAUCAAUUUCUUUUGCUGUAAAAAAGCUUGAGGAAGGUGGCUUGAGAUUCGUCUUAAGUGUUUAUAGCCUCUUGCCUAUGCAGUCGGAGAGAUUGAGGUCUGCAGCGUAGAUCCUUCGGGGCUAAAUGCAUUUGUGCUAAGUUAUAGCAUUUUAUAGACAACUUGUUGACUAUGAUUUGUCUUGUAGCUUACUCGCUUAUGUUAUUUUACCUACGCUUAGGAUGUUGAGUCGUAGAGCACGCAG
rnacentral:rRNA from 1 species